rnacentral:lncRNA from 1 species
GAAACCGAGGACAGAUCUUGCAGCAAGAACCCCCGACCCCCAACCCAGCGGAGAGGAGACCAGGGGGCCCUCACCUGUGAGCACCCCAGCGGUCAGGUAGAGCUCCAGGAGGCGCGUGGCAAAGGAAGCUAGGAUCAUGCCCGCGGAAGCCAGCAGCCCACCCGCCAGCAUCACCGGGCGACAGCCAAAGCGGGUCACGAGGAUGCUGGACACGGGGCCUGUGGGCAGGGCAGGGUCACCACCCGGGUCCCGGGAUGGCUUGAGUCCUCUAAGGAAUAAGGUCACCUCCGGCUCAGGGACACAGAGAGGAGGGCAGUGUCUGGCCAAGGUCACACAGCUUGGAGGGGACAGGCCAAAGAGACAGCAUCCUGCGAGGGCAAGGCCCAGAGCACCCCAUCCUGCGAACCCAAACCCCAAGCGGAGCGGGGGCUUCCGCACCCCUUUAACCUUCACAGCCUCCAAGUCCCGCCCUGGCACAGACUGGGAUUCCUCCGCAGCCCCGCCUCCCAGGAUGGGAACUCCAGCAAGCCCCCACCUACAGGGCGCUGAAGGACGAGGGGAGGACGACGGGUCCCACCUGACUCUGCACCUCUGCAGGCUCCCUCUGAAGGACAACUGCUGGCCCCUCAGGGCCUCAGGUGGAAGGCGUCGGGAAGUGGAGCAGGCUAUGUGAGUCAAGGAUGGAACGAUGGUCCCAGAACAUCCCAGGAGGGUGUGACAGCCUCCAUCUAGAAGGUUCUAUCCUCAGGUCCCCAAGGCAUCUGCAGCACACCGUCCUCUGCUGUGGGUCUGUGAAGCAGCCACUCCAGCAGCAGGUGUCCCUAUCGUUGGCGUUCUCAGUCAUCUCUCUCCCCACUGACCCCCUUCCGUUCCUGUCCCUGUGGUCACCCGCCCAGCUAUGGACCUUCGCGCCUAACUAUGAGUCCCUCCAUACAUCACCUAUCCCCCACUCACCUGUCUAUACUCCAUCCCCCGUGUAGCCACGAAUCCAUCCAGCACCCCCUCACCACUCACACCUCUCCAAUCACCCAUCAGUGUCUGUCCACCACAUCUGCGCAUCCUCCCAUGUCCCUAACCACCCAGUCAGUGACCCCCCCCCCGCCAUUUAAGGCCAUCCACUUGCACACACAGACCUCCACCUACCCAGACGCACAUCCCCUGGUCCACCCAUUCGCCUGUCCACCAUCCAUUAAGCACAGGACCACUCAUCCAUCCGUGGGCUGGUGUGGGCAGCCACCACCCGCUCUGCCCAUGCACGCAUUCAUCCUGCGCUGCUUCUCUCCUGCAGCAGGAGUGGGCACCGUACACUACCCUGCCCAUGAAGCCCCGAGGGGGCACUGCCUGGCUCCAGCCAGCCCCAUCUGCCCCGUUUUCCCCUGCAGGACAGUGGUGCCUGUCCAUUCCCUCUGCUAGCUGCCAGCCCUGCUGUCCUCCGCACUUUCUGGCAACCUCACUGUAUGAAACUCCCCAAAUCCUCCUCCACGUCAAGUGUCAAAACAGCCCAGUUUAAGUGCUUUCAGGAUUUCCACGGAGCCUGACCGCAAAGAGGUGAGCACAUUUAAGCCCCUACUCCCAGCCCAGCCCCCUGCAUCAGAGUUCCAGGGCUGACUCUGCAGAGGGGAAGCAGCCUCCUCCCAGAGGCAGGCACACAGUAGGUGCUCAAGCAAUAGGAUUUCUGCCAUUUCCACACUUUUGGAAGAACCUGCCCAUCCCCCAUCCUCUGCCCGCUCUCAAGGACCGUCAUCCUGAACUUGGUAAGGCGGCUCUUCCUACUCCCACUGAAUGAAUGAGGAAACUGAGGCAGGGUGCGGGGGUCGGGAGGAGAGGAGCAUUGUCCGAGGCCCCCGGGGGAGGCCAGGGAAACCUCAGUCCGGCAGGUCCCCGGGUUCCCGGCCCCCAGGGCCUUCUUCUCAACCCACCCCCGGCCCCUCCAAGGCUCCCACUCACGCGGACGAGCCCUCCAGCUUGCCGUAGAGCCAGCCGUUCUGGGCCUCGGGCACCAACACCUCCACCACGUCCCCAGCGGAGAAGCGCAGCAGCGUGUGGUUGGCGCCCUCCGAGUGGGAGACCAGGGCGCGGACUCUCCUGGCGCCCCCGCCGCCGCCCG